CAACCUGCCGCUUACUCGGGGAUAGCCUUUCGAAAGAAAGAUUAAUACCCGAUGGUAUAAAGAGUUCGCAUGUUCUCUUUAUUAAAGAAUUUCGGUAAGCGAUGGGGAUGCGUUCCAUUAGAUUAUUGGCGGGGUAACGGCCCACCAAGUCUACGAUGGAUAGGGGUUCUGAGAGGAAGGUCCCCCACAUUGGAACUGAGACACGGUCCAAACUCCUACGGGAGGCAGCAGUGAGGAAUAUUGGUCAAUGGACGAGAGUCUGAACCAGCCAAGUAGCGUGAAGGAUGACUGCCCUAUGGGUUGUAAACUUCUUUUAUAAGGGAAUAAAGUGAGGGACGUGUCCCUUUUUGUAUGUACCUUAUGAAUAAGGAUCGGCUAACUCCGUGCCAGCAGCCGCGGUAAUACGGAGGAUCCGAGCGUUAUCCGGAUUUAUUGGGUUUAAAGGGAGCGUAGGUUGACGUAUAAGUCAGCUGUGAAAGUUUACGGCUCAACCGUGAAAUUGCAGUUGAUACUGUAUGUCUUGAGUGUACAAGAGGUGGGCGGAAUUCGUGGUGUAGCGGUGAAAUGCUUAGAUAUCACGAAGAACUCCGAUUG
rnacentral:rRNA from 1 species